rnacentral:rRNA from 1 species
AACGAACGCUGGCGGCGUGUUUAAGACAUGCAAGUCGAACGAGAUGACACCGGUAUUUAUAUUGGUUGACUCUAGUGGCGCACGGGUGAGUAACACGUGAACAACAUACCCUCGAGUGGGGGAUAGCCCGCCGAAAGGCGGAUUAAUACCCCAUGGUAUCUUCGGAUUAAAGAUGGCUUCGGCUGUCGCUUGAGGAUUGGUUCGCGCCCUAUCAGCUUGUUGGUGAGGUAACGGCUCACCAAGGCUACGACGGGUACCUGGUUUGAGAGGACGAUCAGGCACACUGGAACUGAGACACGGUCCAGACACCUACGGGUGGCAGCAGUCGAGAAUAAUUCACAAUGGGCGAAAGCCUGAUGGUGCAACGCCGCGUGGAGGAUGACGGUCUUCGGAUUGUAAACUCCUGUCAUCAGGGAGUAAGACCUGGGUGUUAAUAGCACACAGGGUUGAUAGUACCUGAAGAGGAAGGGACGGCUAACUUCG